rnacentral:sRNA from 12 species
AUUGGUUGAAGAAAGUAGCUUUAUGUGAAAUAAACCUUUACACAGAAGGAGAGGCACUUCCAUGGAGUUAAUCCAAAAAUAGCACCUCUGAUAUGGCAAGUCGGACGCUUCUUGCAUGGUGAGGUAUAGCAGUAACUCAUUUCAUGAUUUGUCAUUACGCAGUUAUAACCUGCUUCUAUAAUAUACUGUACGGAGGACGAAAACUACCCAUGAAUAGU